rnacentral:lncRNA from 1 species
UAAGUGACAAGGAGCUCCUCGAGGGGUUUCAGGAUCAAGACGUCAUAAAGGUACUGCUCCAAUCAACCACAAGCAAACCAGUUUUCGAACUACAGCCUGAUGACUUAUCAGCUCAGUUUUUGCCGGACGGUGAACCUUUGUUCAACUGCUCGACAUGGGAAUCAAGCGACAUUGACCAAAACGACGGAAAUCAACGAGUGUGCCUCGCAGCUGAAAUUGGCCGCUGCCGGUCAACCAACCGUGGACUGAUCGCACAGACGACUGCAGCCUACAAAUAGCACGGAUCUUCACUCGGCGCUUGGGGCAUGGAACCGGUGCAGAUAUGACUGCACCAUUUACGCUUACGCUGUUCUUUCUGCAGGCUGACCACCAAAACAGUGUGAAUCUGGGUCCUUAGGAGCUUGAAUGCCACCAGGUACCAAUGCUCUGCUCGUUGUGGACAAGUACUGCGACGAAGACAGCACCUGCCUUUGUGCAAUACUUCUGAAUGCUUCUUCAUUUUGACUAAUGCAAAACUGUUGUGCAAUUUAACCUUUGUUUACUUCACUGAAAUAAUAAAUGAGGCC